rnacentral:rRNA from 1 species
UNGGAGAGGAAAGUGGAAUUCCUAGUGUAGCGGUGAAAUGCGUAGAUAUUAGGAAGANCACCAGUGGCGAAGGCGACUUUCUGGACGAAAACUGACGCUGAGGCGCGAAANCCAGGGGAGCGAACGGGAUUAGAUACCCCGGUAGUCCUGNCCGUAAACGAUGGGUACUAGGUGUAGGAGGUAUCGACCCCUUCUGUGCCGGAGUUAACGCAGUAAGUACCCCGCCUGGGGAGUACGACCGCAAGGUUGAAACUCAAAGGAAUUGACGGGGGCCCGCACAAGCGGUGGAGUAUGUGGUUUAAUUCGACGCAACGCGAAGAACCUUACCAGGUCUUGACAUUGAUGGACAGAACCAGAGAUGGUUCCUCUUCUUCGGAAGCCAGAAAACAGGUGGUGCACGGUUGUCGUCAGCUCGUGUCGUGAGAUGUUGGGUUAAGUCCCGCAACGAGCGCAACCCCUAUCUUAUGUUGCCAGCACUUUGGGUGGGAACUCAUGAGAGACUGCCGCAGACAAUGCGGAGGAAGGCGGGGAUGACGUCAAAUCAUCAUGCCCCUUAUGACCUGGGCUACACACGUACUACAAUGGGAGUUAAUAGACGGAAGCGAGAUCGCGAGAUGGAGCAAACCCGAGAAACACUCUCUCAGUUCGGAUCGUAGGCUGCAACUCGCCUACGUGAAGUCGGAAUCGCUAGUAAUCGCAGGUCAGCAUACUGCGGUGAAUACGUUCCCGGGCCUUGUACACACCGCCCGUCACACCACGAAAGUCGGAAGUGCCCAA